rnacentral:rRNA from 1 species
UACGGAGGGUGCAAGCGUUAUCCGGAUUCACUGGGUUUAAAGGGUGCGUAGGCGGGCAUUUAAGUCAGUGGUGAAAUACCUGAGCUUAACUUGGGAACUGCCAUUGAUACUAUUUGUCUUGAAUGUCGUGGAGGUUAGCGGAAUAUGUCAUGUAGCGGUGAAAUGCUUAGAUAUGACAUAGAACACCUAUUGCGAAGGCAGCUAGCUACACGAAUAUUGACACUGAUGCACGAAAGCGUGGGGAUCAAACAGG